AGGAAGGCCUCACCAUGUUGGAGUGAGUGUGUUUCAGCAGAAUCGCAUGUCCAUACAGGAGGGUACGGUGACCUCCGCCCUGUGACGACUGGAAGACAAAGGUGGAGCAGAGUUGACCUCAGUCUAAGGCGGUGCAGCAGUGACUUAUGGGAAACCCGACAAAAACAAAACUCACCCAUUUGUCCAGAUCCACGGCCUGGAGUUCACAGAGGAGUUGGACAACAUCUCCUGAAGGGCUCGCACAGAGAGAGACUGCUCCAGGAUGAAGCAGCAGAUGGCCAGGUCUGGAGGGACAUUCUGGGACAGAAGAGAAGAGUUCAACUGUCAAUCAAAGACACGAUGAACAGAUCGGACUUUUUCUUCUUCUUCUUCUUCUUCUUCACUACCUGAGCGUUUGACGUGGUCUACAGGAAA